rnacentral:rRNA from 1 species
UAUCUCUGUAGAGUCUGCAUAUCAAUAAGCGGAGGAAAAGAAACUAACAAGGAUUCCCUUAGUAACGGCGAGUGAAGCGGGAAGAGCUCAAAUUUGAAAUCUUCAAGGUUCUACCUUGACGAAUUGUAGUUUAAAGAAGUGUUUUCUGUUAGAUGAGUAGCAAAAGUUCCUUGGAAUGGGACAUCAUAGAGGGUGAGAAUCCCGUAUUUGGUUAUUCAUUCUAGCUUUGUGAUACACUUCCAAAGAGUCGGAUUGUUUGGGAAUGCAGUCCAAAAUGGGUGGUAAAUUUCAUCUAAAGCUAAAUAUUGGCGAGAGACCGAUAGCGAACAAGUACCGUGAGGGAAAGAUGAAAAGAACUUUGAAAAGAGAGUUAAACAGUACGUGAAAUUGUCAAAAGGGAAGCGUUUGACACCAGUGUUGUUUUUCCGAAAAUCAAUUACGAAUGGCUUGAUUUUGUGUUGUAUUGACCUUAUCAGCUUUCUGCACUUUUUUCGAGUCUUUCUUAAUGCACUUUUCGGUUAACAAGUCAACAUCAAUUUCUUUUGUUGUAAAAGAGUAUUCGGAAGGUGGCUUUCUUUUCGGAGAAAGUGUUUAUAGCCCUAUACUUCUACAAUCGGAGAGAUUGAGGUCUGCAGCGUAGAUCCUUCGGGGUUAGAUACAUUUGUGCUAAGUUGUAGCUUUUCAUAGACAACUUGUUGACUAUGUUUAGUCAUGCGGCUUACUCGCUUAUGCUAUUUUACCUACGCUUAGGAUGUUGACUGAUAUGUAGUCGUA